UUUUUAACUAUCCAAUCUUGUAGCUUACCCUUAUCCGAACCAAACCAAAAAAUAUGAAUUUCUGCUACACUACUCCUAUUACAUACCAGUGUUUACUCUAACAUAUAUGAUCUACACAUCAUUUUAGCUCUUCACUAACAAUGGAAAUCACCAAAUACCAUGCUCCUACCGUGCCUCUUGUACAAUUAUCAUGAUGCCGUCUUUUUUUUUAAUGAGUUAUAUGCAUCCGGACUUUUAUUAAUUAUGCAGAAAAUCAAAAGGUUCAAAAAAGCCCAACCCAAAUCGGGUCAGGCCCAAAAAAAUAAAAUAAAAAACAAAAAUUAAAAAACAUCAAAAACAAAUAAUAUUUUCCCAACUUUCCUAAAUGAAACCCUAAAACUUCGGGUUCUUCUCUUUAUCUCCAGCUGUAAUUUUCUUCGAUUUUUACCUCCGGUGGUGUGAAAAUGAUGAAGAGACCACAUGAUGCUGCUUUGAUGGUUAAAUUCUGAUUCACUCCUCUAUGUGUGAAUUUGUUCUUCCUUUCUCAUCUCACUAUCUUCAGGUAAAGCUUCAAUCUUCUUAAAUCUAUUCAUUUUUCCUUGUUUCUGACUCGAUUGAACCUUUUUGACUUUUUUCUUGUUCUGCAUGUACCAAUUUUGUGUUCGAUCUAUGUUGAAUCGAUCCUUACUUGAGCUCUUCAUGACAUUUGUAGCUCGAUCUGUCUUUGAAUGGACCUCUGCUUGAGCUCAUUCUGACGUUUGCGGCUUCUUCUUCGUUUGUUUUAUAAUUUCCUAUCUAUGCUCAUCACCUUCUUCAUUUGUCAAGAGAUCAAAGAUGCCAAAGAAAAUACAACCUCUUUAGUAAAAAAUAUUGGAGGAAGCUCAGGAAAGCUUAUCCAUGUGACUACAACAAAGGUCUCCUCACUGGGUUUAAACCAGGGGUUCCAUAUCAUGGGCCUCAUUUGGCAAUACUUUGUAUCCACUUUAA